CCUACGGGAGGCAGCAGCAAGGAAUUUUCCCCAAUGGGCGCCAGCCUGAGGGAGCAACGCCGCGUGGGGGAGGACGCGUUUCGGCGUGUAAACCCCUUUUCCGAGGGACGAAGCAAGUGACGGUACCUCGGGAAGAAGGCCCGGCUAACUACGUGCCAGCAGCCGCGGUAAU
rnacentral:rRNA from 1 species